AUUGAACGCUGGCGGCAGGCCUAACACAUGCAAGUCGAGCGGAUGAAGGGAGCUUGCUCCUGGAUUCAGCGGCGGACGGGUGAGUAAUGCCUAGGAAUCUGCCUGGUCGUGGGGGAUAACGUCCGUAAACGGGCGCUAAUACCGCAUACGUCCUGAGGGAGAAAGUGGGGGAUCUUCGGACCUCACGCUAUCAGAUGAGCCUAGGUCGGAUUAGCUAGUUGGUGGGGUAAAGGCCUACCAAGGCGACGAUCCGUAACUGGUCUGAGAGGAUGAUCAGUCACACUGGAACUGAGACACGGUCCAGACUCCUACGGGAGGCAGCAGUGGGGAAUAUUGGACAAUGGGCGAAAGCCUGAUCCAGCCAUGCCGCGUGUGUGAAGAAGGUCUUCGGAUUGUAAAGCACUUUAAGUUGGGAGGAAGGGCAGUAAGUUAAUACCUUGCUGUUUUGACGUUACCAACAGAAUAAGCACCGGCUAACUUCGUG
rnacentral:rRNA from 1 species